rnacentral:rRNA from 1 species
UACGUAGGGUGCGAGCGUUGUCCGGAAUUAUUGGGCGUAAAGGGCUCGUAGGCGGUCUGUUACGUCGGGAGUGAAAACUCAGGGCUCAACCCUGAGCCUGCUUCCGAUACGGGCAGACUAGAGGUAUGCAGGGGAGAAUGGAAUUCCUGGUGUAGCGGUGAAAUGCGCAGAUAUCAGGAGGAACACCGGUGGCGAAGGCGGUUCUCUGGGCAUUACCUGACGCUGAGGAGCGAAAGUGUGGGGAGCGAACAGG